rnacentral:rRNA from 1 species
AUUGAACGCUGGCGGCAGACCUAACACAUGCAAGUCGAACGAGUGGCGGACGGGUUGGAAAUGACUGGGCAAAUGCCUGAUGGAGGGGGUUAACUACUGGAAUCGGUAGCUAAUACCGUAUACCAGCGGCUGUGCCCGAGUGGGUUUAGCUAGGAGGGGGGGUAAAGGCUCACCAAGGCGACGAUCCCUAGCUGGUCUGAGAGGAUGACCAGCCACACGGUAACUGAGACACGGUCCAGACGCCUACGGGAGGCAGCAGUGGGGAAUAUUGCACAAUGGGUGCAAGCCUGAUGCAGCCAUGCCGCGUGUAUGAAGAAGGCCUUCGGGUUGUAAAGUACUUUCAGCGGGGAGGCGUUACCCGCAGAAGAAGCACCGGCUAACUCCGUGCCAGCAGCCGCGGUAAUUC